AUGUUCAGGUAUGGCCAGAACGAUUCCAAUGGUGAACGUUUCUGGGUAACAAAGGUUUUCUCAUUGCAGUCGAUACAACCUGAAGCUGCUCAUUACAACUCCACUGCUUAUCUCAAGGUGCAGUAUAGCUCCUCCGAUUCCAGUUCUGAUCUCACUCUAAACAAAAGGAAGGUCAUUUUAGCAAUUACACUUCCAACAACAAGUAUUUUUAUAUUACUUAUUAUUGUUGCCAUUCUUUAUCCGCAAAGGAGGAGGAAGUAUAAAGAGAACGAUGAAGACUCUGAAUUCAAUCAAUUAUUAUCAGGAAUGCCAACGAGGUUUUCUUUUGAGAAGUUGAGAGAAUGUACUGAAGGGUUCAGUAAAAAACUCGGGGGAGGUGGAUUUGGUUCUGUUUUUGAAAGGAAACUCGAUGGAGAGAGAGUUGCAGUAAAACGUUUGGAAGGUGCUAGGCAAGGAAAGAAAGAAUUCUUGGCAGAGGUUGAAACUAUUGGCAGCAUUGAACACAUCAAUCUUAUUGGCUUUUGUGCAGAGAAAUCUCAUAGGCUUCUGGUAUAUGAAUAUAUGUCAAGAGGGUCGCUUGAUAGGUGGAUCUAUAACCACCGUAGUAAUACCCGUUUUGAUUGGUCCACCCGAUGCAAGAUUAUUCUACAUAUUGCAAAGGGCCUAUGCUAUCUUCAUGAAGGGUGCAGACGAGAAAUUGCUCAUUUGGACAUCAAACCACAAAAAAUUCUCUUAGACGGGAACUUCAAUGCCGAAGUGGCUGAUUUUGGACUAUCCAAGUUAAUAGACAGGGAUCAAAGUAAGGUAAUGACAAUGAUGAGAGGAACACCUGGGUAUCUGGCACCUGAAUGGUUAACAUCGCAGAUCACUGAAAAAGUCGAUGUGUACAGCUUUGGUGUUGUUAUCUUGGAAAUAAUAAGUGGAAGAAAAUGCAUUGACCGUUCUCGGCCAGAGGAGGAUGUUCAUAUUAUUUAUUUAUUACGAGAAAAGGCUCAAAACAAUCAGUGGAUUGAUCUGAUCGUCGAUAAUAAUAGUGAUGAUAGUGUCUCACGCCAGGAGGAAGUGAUCCAAAUGAUGAAGCUUGCAAUGUGGUGUUUGCAGAAUGAUAGCAGCCAUAGGCCUUCCAUGUCAAUGGUGAUCAAGGUGUUGGAAGGUGCUAUAAGCGUUGAAAGUCACAUAAUUCAGAGCUUUCUCAAUGCAAACUCAAUCAUGUCUGUUCAAGAUAAUCAAUACCUAUAUUUGGUUCGUGAAGCAUCUAUCUUAUCUGGCCCACGGUGA
rnacentral:rRNA from 1 species